rnacentral:rRNA from 1 species
CCCGUCACACCAUGAGAGUUGGAAAUACCCGAAGCCUGUGAGCUAACUUAAAGAGGCAGCAGUCGAAGGUAGAGCCAAUGAUUGGGGUGAAGUCGUAACAAGGUAAC